AAUGCCUUGUGCAUGCUAGGCAAGCGCUCUACCACUGAGCCACAACCCCAGCCCUGAUAGAAUAUUUUAUAGUCAUGAAAAAGUACAUUUAUGGUGAGUGUACAAUAAAAUGAAAAAUGCUUUUAUGUGAGAUGUUAAGUGAAAAAUGGGAAUUAGAAAUAAAAAUAUAUAGACCUUCACAAAUAUUUAUUCUAAGUUAAUUUAAGAUUUAAAAUAUAUGCUGGGCAUAGUGGCACAUAGUGGCACAUGUCUAUAAUCAUAGUGACUCAGGAGGCUGGACUUUGAAACUUAGUGAAAUCCUGCCUCAAAAUAAAAAGGGCUGGGGAUGCAGCUCAGUGGUAAAGUGCCCCUAGCUUCAAUCCACAGUACUAAAAAAAGAAAAAAAGAAAAAAAGAAAGAAACACUAACACACAUGAAUGAAUGAAUUAACUAAUGAAAAUAAAAAUGUAUAUGUAUGACUUCUUUAUAUCCAUAAAUGUAAAAUGAGCUCUUACUAUUUGUGCAUAUGUGUUUCUAGCAUAAAACUUCUUGCAGAGCAU
rnacentral:lncRNA from 1 species